rnacentral:lncRNA from 1 species
CGAGUGUAAUUUCUUCGCCGAGUGUAUUAUUGCGGGCACUCGGCGAAGGACCGGUUUGCCGAGUGCAUUCCUAGAAACACUCGGCAAAAAUAAUACACUCGGCGAAAACACGAUUUGCCGAGUGCCACCAAAAAAACACUCGGCAAACUCCCACGGGGCACUCGGCAAACAAAAUCCACUCGGCAAACACUUGAGCACGUGACUUCCACGUGCCGCGCUGGGCCGUCG